rnacentral:rRNA from 1 species
UACAUAGGCCCCAAGCGUUACUGAGAAUCACUGGGUUUAAAGGGUGCGUAGGUGGCGCGUUAAGUCCGUUGUGAAAGCCCUGGGCUCAACCCAGGAACUGCUUCGGAUACUGGCGCGCUUGAGGCUAGUAGGGGUCACUGGAACUGACGGUGGAGCGGUGAAAUGCGCAGAUAUCAGGAGGAACACCCGUGGCGAAAGCGGCUCUCUGGGACGGUACUGACGCUGAGACGCGAAAGCGUGGGGAGCAAACAGG